AACACAAAAUGAAAACCUAAUUUUCCAAGUUUCUGUUUUCUUGUAAUUAAUAAAGUUGAUUAAUUUUUUAUCAAAUUCGUGCUUUUAUUGGUGUUUUAAUGGUGAGUUUUGAUCAGUUUGAUUGAUUACUGAAACAAAAGAUUAGCUGGAACACAUGAUUCUUAGGGACGUGAAAUUAAAGGUCUUGCAGGGACUGAGACACUGAGACACCAAAUGAUGAGAAGAAAAUCAUUAGAAACGAUUCAUUUAUUUAGUAUAUGGAUGAUUUCAAUGGAUUUAGAAAUAAAACUGAGGUGCAUUUGAUAAUUGUGGAAUGGGUUAGAGUUCUAUACGCACCAAGAAAUCUGAAUACAUUGUAGUCUCUAUCUCCCCCCUCUUGUGAUUUUUUUUUUUGAUUUCGACAAAGUUUUGAUUUUUAUGAGGAAUACACAUUUGAUUCAUUUUUUGUUAUAGUUUUGAAAUUUGUGUAAUGGGAUUGUUGAUACAGGACAACAAUAUGGCACAUGAUGCAUUAGCAUUAGUUGAUCAUUUAGGUUGGUGAAAAGCUUAUGCCUUUGGUCAUUCCAGUGGUAGUAUUCAGCAUGUAUCCAAGUAAAAGCUUGGUGAAGCAUAGCCUUUUUUCUCUGAUAACGAAUGUGCCAGAGAAGCGAGCUCGCAAUCAUCCUUGUGGUGAUACAUCCAGAUAGAUACAAAGGAUAUCCUGUUUAUAUGUGGUGGAGCCUUUAUUGAUUUGGAAAAGACUAUUUCAGAAAGAUUGCUUCUGAAGGACCCACACACCAAGUGUUUGUGGUUUCAUUGGAUGAUCUUUCAGGCGAUGAGGAUCAAGCGUGUAAGAAGUUCAGACUUAGAGUUGAGGAUGUUCAAAGAAAGAAUGUUCUUACCAAUUUCUGGGCAAGGAAUGGAUUUUACCACAGACAAGUUGAGACGUCUUGAAAGAAAGUGACAGACAUUGAUUAAAACCCAUAUUGAUGUCAAGACAACAUACAACUUCACCUUGAGGUCAUUCUGCAUCAGAUUCACCAAGAAGCGAGACAAACAGGUCAGGAGAACCUGUUAUGCUCAAUCUAGCCAGAUUUGAGAGGUGAAUUCAUGUCUUUCGAUUUCAACAUUUUCUUAUUAUUUCAUGUUAUUCAUGCGUGUAAGAUUUUUUUGUGACCUUAUUGGAAGAAUUCAGAAAUCAUGGUAAACCAGCAUUUUCUUAUUAUUUCACGUUUGUAUCAUCUGUACUUUGUAUUGUCGGACUCGUCGCCAGAUGGUUGAAAACAUGGUAAGCCAGGCCUCUUCAUGUGAUCUUACAGAAUUGGUGGCAAAAUUUAUCCCUGCGAUGAUUGGAAAAGAUAUUGAGAAGGCUACAUCAAGCAUUUACCCAUUGCAGAAUGUGUUCAUUUGGAAGGUGGGUGAUCAUAAGUUUGAUAAAAUUAUAGAUGCAGGUGCUAUGUUAUGCGAUAAGGAAAGAGUACUUGGAGAUGUUGCAAGAGGUGACAUGACUAAGUGGCCAAAAUUUAUGUAAAUCGUGUAGGAGAGCUAACAUAUUAGAGUGGCAAGAUUAGGUGACAUUAUUAGUUGAUAGAAUUCAGUUUUAGUGUUUAAUAUGCAAUUCUAUGUUGAUAGUAAUAUAAUUUAUCUUUCAAUUUGUAUUCAGAGAUUAUAUGUUUUGAAUGUUAUUUUGGUAUUAAUAUGAGGUUAAAUUCAUCUUUA